rnacentral:lncRNA from 1 species
AUAUUCACACAAAUUUACAUAUUUAGGUUGAUAUUCAUGCAAAAAUAUUCUACUGAAAUUCAAUCAACAAGAUUAGAGAAACCAACAAGCCUAGGGAAUAGUGGGAAAUUGAGAUUGUUAAUUAUCACAAUUCAAUUGAAUUACCAAGUAUUUUGAGAUAGAUCUUGAUGAAUGGUUGUCAAAAUCUUCCAAAAGAACUAGAUGUUCGAUCAAUUCAUUUUUUACAACAACAUUAACGAAUAGAGGAUGGAAAUAAGUGUUUGUUCCAUAUCAGGUCUUCAACUUUUUUGUUUUUAAGUUUUCCUUUUGGUUAUCAUACUCACACAAAGGGCCGACCAAGCAUAGCCCGCGAUGAAUCGACAACCAUAGCCUGUCAUGAAUCGAUAACCAAAGGCCACCCUGUAGCAAACCUAAAAGUGCAUGGCCGACUUCAAAUUUCAAAAAACCCGCACAACUUGUGACACCUCGCCGUAAUUUCCAAUAGGUUUUAAGAUCAUGCCAAUUAAACGGACAGGAUGCAAUCUGCAUGUGAAACGAAUGCGCCUGACUUUUGAAACCUUACCUAUAGCAUCAUAGUCAUCGUUCCUUCUAGGUUGAUUGAAUCAUGUCUCAACACCCUCAA